AGUGAACGCUGGCGGUAGGCCUAACACAUGCAAGUCGAACGGCAGCACAGUAAGAGCUUGCUCUUACGGGUGGCGAGUGGCGGACGGGUGAGGAAUACAUCGGAAUCUACUUUUUCGUGGGGGAUAACGUAGGGAAACUUACGCUAAUACCGCAUACGACCUACGGGUGAAAGCAGGGGAUCUUCGGACCUUGCGCGAUUGAAUGAGCCGAUGUCGGAUUAGCUAGUUGGCGGGGUAAAGGCCCGCCAAGGCGACGAUCCGUAGCUGGUCUGAGAGGAUGAUCAGCCACACUGGAACUGAGACACGGUCCAGACUCCUACGGGAGGCAGCAGUGGGGAAUAUUGGACAAUGGGCGCAAGCCUGAUCCAGCCAUACCGCGUGGGUGAAGAAGGCCUUCGGGUUGUAAAGCCCUUUUGUUGGGAAAGAAAAGCAGCAGGUUAAUACCCCGCUGUUCUGACGGUACCCAAAGAAUAAGCGCCGGCUAACUUCGUG
rnacentral:rRNA from 1 species